rnacentral:rRNA from 1 species
GAUGAACGCUGGCGGCGUGCUUAACACAUGCAAGUCGAACGGAAAGGCGCUGCGUUUGUGGGGUGCUCGAGUGGCGAACGGGUGAGUAACACGUGUGUAAACUGCCCUUAACUGUGGGAUAACUUCAGGAAACUGGGGCUAUUACAGGAUAGGAGCUCUUGCUGCGUGGUGGGGGUUGGAGAGUUUCGGCGGUUGGGGAUGGACUGGCGGGUUAACAGCUUGUUGGUGGGGUAGUGGCUUACCAAGGCUUUGACGGGUAGCCGGCCUGAGAGGGUGACCGGCCACACAGGGACUGAGAUACGGCCCAGACUGCUAAGGUGGGCAGCAGUGGGGAAUCCUGCACGAGGGACGGAAGCCUGAUGCAGCAACGCCUCGUGCGGGAAAACGCCCUUCGUGUUGAAAACCGCUUUCGCCUGUAACGAAGCGUGAGUGACGGGAAUCGGUAAAGAAGCCCCGGCUAACUACGUG